rnacentral:tRNA from 1 species
AGAAAAAUAAGUUAAUUAUAAGACUAAUUGGUUCAUGUCCAAUUUGUAUGGGUUUCCCAUUUUUUCUA